rnacentral:rRNA from 1 species
UACGUAGGGUGCGAGCGUUAAUCGGAAUUACUGGGCGUAAAGCGUGCGCAGGCGGUUCGUUAAGUCAGAUGUGAAAGCCCCGGGCUCAACCUGGGAACUGCAUUUGAAACUGGCGGGCUUGAGUAUGGCAGAGGGGGGUAGAAUUCCACGUGUAGCAGUGAAAUGCGUAGAUAUGUGGAGGAACACCGAUGGCGAAGGCAGCCCCCUGGGAUGUGACUGACGCUCAUGUACGAAAGCGUGGGGAGCAAACAGG